UGAGCAAUCUGCCCUUCUCUUCUGAAAUAAGCGUUGGAAACGACGUCUAAUGCCGAAUACGACCUCCUUUCGCAUGAUCGGAGGUGGAAAGCUCCGGCGGAGAAGGAUGAGCUCGCGGCCUAUCAGCUUAGUUGGUGUGGGUAAUGGCCCACCAAGGCGACGACGGGUAGCCGGCCUGGAGGAGGGUGACCCGGCCACACGUGGGACUGAGACACCGGCCCAGACCUCCGUACGGGAGCAG
rnacentral:rRNA from 1 species